CUUAAAGUCUGAAUAGGUUAUCUGUUGUUUAUACUAAGUCGUAAGUGUACAGUCGCGGGAGAUUCCCGGAUUUGGGGAAGUUCCAUUAACUUGGGGUUACCACAGUAUAUUGUGUACUGCAAGAGUCGUAGUAUAGCCUUGAAGCUUGUUUAUGCAUUAUUGUUAUUGUAAUUCGUCUGGGACAAAAUGGCGCAAACAUAUUAUGCA